AAACAAAUAAAGUUGAGCGAUAAGCAUAAAUUGCCAAACCCUGAACAAAUUAAGGGUAAAAAAUAUUGUAAGUGGCAUAAUGUAUGGUCACAUUUGACUAACGAUUGCUUGGUUUUUCGCCAUGUAUUGCAGGAUGCCAUUGAAUCAAGACGAAUUACGUUCGAUGAUAAGAAGAAGAUGACAGUGGAUGAAAAUCCUUUUCCACAGCCACUUGGAGUGAACAUGGUGACGUCUGGUUUUAAAAACAAGUUGUCAAAAUUCAAGUUGGUCAUAGAUGAUGGAGAAGAGGACCCUAGACCACAUCCCAGUGUCUUUGAACGAAUCAAGGGGAAAGAACCAAAAAAAGACGAAGACGUCCUGUGUACAAGAUGUAAAAGAGAAGUGAGUGAGAACACGGAGAAACCAGGGAUAUGGCAGCAUCCCCAUCGCCCUACUUUCUUCCCAAACACUCAGCCUGGUAGAGGGCGAGGUACAUCAUUCUAUAGAGGACCGCCUUUUGACAGGCAGUUCAGGCUAGCAGAUAAUGGGAGAACAUUCAGGCCGCAACCUCGCCGGCCAAAUGUAUGACAUUCGUUCCAGUAUAAUGCAGGAAGGGCAAUACCCUUCGAUGAGAUGACUAGAACACAACAAAGGCAUUUCCAACGAAACUAUGGACGAAUGAUGAGGCAACAACAGGGAGUGCCACAUUCUAAAGCGCCUAAACUACUCAAGAUAGCUAAUCAAAAUGUUCUCAAGGAUAGUGAAUAAACCGG
rnacentral:lncRNA from 1 species